rnacentral:rRNA from 1 species
GACGAACGCUGGCGGCGUGCUUAACACAUGCAAGUCGAACGGAAAGGCCCUGCUUUUGUGGGGUGCUCGAGUGGCGAACGGGUGAGUAACACGUGAGUAACCUGCCCUUGACUUUGGGAUAACUUCAGGAAACUGGGGCUAAUACCGCAUAGGAGCUCCUGCUGCAUGGUGGGGGUUGGAAAGUUUCGGCGGUUGGGGAUGGACUCGCGGCUUAUCAGCUUGUUGGUGGGGUAGUGGCUUACCAAGGCUUUGACGGGUAGCCGGCAUGAGAGGGGGACCGGCGACAAUGGGACUGAGAUACGGCCCAGACGCCUAUGGGAGGCAGCAGUGGGGAAUAUUGCACAAUGGGCGGAAGCCUGAUGCAGCAACGCCGCGUGCGGGAUAACGGCCUUCGGGUUGUAAACCGCUUUCGCAUGUGACGAAGCGUGAGUGACGGUAAUGGGUAAAGAAGCACCGGCUAACUACGUG